rnacentral:tRNA from 1 species
GCCUCUAUAGUGUAGUGGUUAUCGCGUCGCACUUGUAAUGCGAAGGUCGCUAGUUCAAUUCUGGCUGGAGGCA